rnacentral:rRNA from 1 species
AUUGAACGCUGGCGGAAUGCUUUACACAUGCAAGUCGAACGGCAGCACGGACUUCGGUCUGGUUGCGAGUGGCGAACGGGUGAGUAAUGUAUCGGAACGUGCCCAGUCGCGGGGGAUAACGUAGUGAAAAUUACGCUAAUACCGCAUACGAUCUAUGGAUGAAAGCGGGGGCUCGCAAGACCUCGCGCGAUUGGAGCGGCCGAUAUAAGAUUAGGUAGUUGGUGGGGUAAAGGCCCACCAAGCCAACGAUCUGUAGCUGGUCUGAGAGGACGACCAGCCACACUGGAACUGAGACACGGUCCAGACUCCUACGGGAGGCAGCAGUGGGGAAUUUUGGACAAUGGGCGAAAGCCUGAUCCAGCCAUUCCGCGUGCAGGAUGAAGGCCCUCGGGUUGUAAACUGCUUUUGUACAGAACGAAAAGGUUUCUACUAAUACUAGGAGCUCAUGACGGUACUGUAAGAAUAAGCACCGGCUAACUACGUGCCAGCAGCCGCCGUAA